rnacentral:rRNA from 1 species
CCUACGGGUGGCAGCAGUGAGGAAUAUUGGUCAAUGGCCGGAAGGCUGAACCAGCCAUGCCGCGUGAAGGUCAGUGCCCUUUGGGCGUUAAACUUCUUUUGUGCGGGAGCAAUAAUGGUCACGUGUGGCCAGACGAGAGUACCGUACGAAUAAGCAUUGGCUAUCUCCGUGCCAGCAGCCGCGGGAAUAAGGGUGAUGCAAGCGUUAUCCGGAUUUAUUGGGUUUUAAGGGUGAGUAGGCUGUGAGGUAAGUCAGCGGUGAAAUGCCCCCGCUCAACGGGGUGAAGUGCCAUUGAUACUGCCUUGCUGGAAUGUGGAUGCCGUGGGAGGAAUGUGUGGUGUAGCGGUGAAAUGCAUAGAUAUCACACAGAACACCGAUUGCGAAGGCAGCUCACGAAUCCGCGAUUGACGCUGAUGCACGAAAGCGUGGGUAUCAAACAGGAUUAGAUACCCCUGUAGUC